UACGAAGGGGGCUAGCGUUGCUCGGAUUGACUGGGCGUAAAGGGUGCGUAGGCGGGUCUUUAAGUCAGGGGUGAAAUCCUGGAGCUCAACUCCAGAACUGCCUUUGAUACUGAGGAUCUUGAGUUCGGGAGAGGUGAGUGGAACUGCGAGUGUAGAGGUGAAAUUCGUAGAUAUUCGCAAGAACACCAGUGGCGAAGGCGGCUCACUGGCCCGAUACUGACGCUGAGGCGCGAAAGCGUGGGGAGCAAACGGG
rnacentral:rRNA from 1 species